AUUUAACAUCACCUCUAAAGACACGUUCUUUGACAACGCAACACGAAGUCGAAUAGUGUAUGAGAUCCUGAGGACGCACCGCCUGCACACGCACCAGCCAAUCCAUGGGCAUCACCACAUUAAUAGCUAAAGGUGUCUAUGAUUCAGCCUUCCCUCUCCAUGAUGGGGAUUAUAAGGUCGUGGGUCACUCUGAGAGGAAUGACAGACAGGUA